rnacentral:rRNA from 1 species
ACUAUGUGUUGUUGGGUAGGGGAGCGUUCUGUAAGCCUGUGAAGGUGUGUCGUGAGGCAUGCUGGAGGUAUCAGAAGUGCGAAUGCUGACAUAAGUAACGAUAAAGCGGGUGAAAAGCCCGCUCGCCGGAAGACCAAGGGUUCCUGUCCAACGUUAAUCGGGGCAGGGUGAGUCGACCCCUAAGGCGAGGCCGAAAGGCGUAGUCGAUGGGAAACGGGUUAAUAUUCCCGUACUUGGUGUUACUGCGAAGGGGGGACGGAGAAGGCUAUGUUGGCCGGGCGACGGUUGUCCCGGUUUAAGCGUGUAGGUGUGUGUUCCAGGUAAAUCCGGUUCACUUUAACACUGAGGCGUGAUGACGAGGCACUACGGUGCUGAAGCAACAAAUGCCCUGCUUCCAGGAAAAGCCUCUAAGCAUCAGGUA